AACUUUCGGUCGUGUCACGUGGUUGUAGCGGCGCCAUAAUGGAGUCCGCCCGGCCUGAUAGGAAGGACUGAAUCUGGUCCUGUGAUCCCUGACGCUUUAUCACACAAAGGGAUUAGAUGGGCCGGUGUGAGUGCCUUCUUCGAGUUAUUACCUUCUUAUGCGCGGACUGCUCUGCCUCUCCGCCCGCAGAUGAAAGCCGCAGGAGAGUAGCCGCCAAAAUGAGGGGAGAAGAGGAGGGGUUUUGUGCUCCCGACGGUCAAACAAGAGAGAGUUAGCACACAGGAACACAAUUGAACACAAAGUGUUGAGAGGAUUAAAUUGGACUAUUUUUCAUUCAUUUCUGCUGUGAAUAUGUUCGUCUUUUUUGCAAGCUUCAUGGCCAC
ensembl:lncRNA